rnacentral:lncRNA from 1 species
GCAUUUCUUUUGUAGUAAGUACUUUUAUCUAGCCAGUAAUGCAGAAAAGGUUUCUCAGGAUUAUAAAACCACUGGGAGUAUCUACAUGCCUUAUACACCAUAGAAAAAUACCACCAUAUACAUUCUUCAAGUUUCAAAGAAAUUCGAAGCGUAAUGAAUAGUAUCCAGAAGACUUGAACUCCCAUACCAACACCACCCUUCGGUCUCAGGUACACGACUUUCUGACAUAAAUGCCAGUCCUAAGCCUUCAACAGACGUGAGCAGUCCAAAGCACGAUGCAGAUGCACUGUGACUAACUGAGAUUUGGAACAGGAAGGGAUAUUGGGAAAACAGAAGCACAGCUUGAACAUAUCAUACUUUCUGCCAAAUAGACAGGAGCCCAGGUCCCCAAGGCUGACUGUUUCUAUCAUCUUCUGGGAGGACAGUUGAAUAUAAAUCCCAAACUAUGAUUUAUUUAUUUUUUUUCCUGCAGCUUAACAUAAGUUUAUUUAGUAAACAACAAAUUCUCUACUGAUAACUUCUUGGAAACUCAGGAACGAGUCCUUUGAGUUCAGAUAUAUGACACCAGAAGACUGAACGACAACUACUUAUAAGCCCAGUAUUGUUUGCAGUGAUGGGAAUGAUGGAGUGACCUUGUUUACAUGUGGUCAUGAGAAGAGGUCACUGCACUGCGUUGAACAAAACAUCUCUGUGCUGCUGUGGUAUCCCAGGCACGGGGAAGUGCUGCACUUACUGACCCUGACCACUACAAGACUGAAGAGUUUUGAAGUCAGCUUGGGCAUUCAGGGAAGACACCAUCCAAUAGGCCACAAGGAAGACCUCCAGUUUUGUCAACAGAUGGUGACUUUGUCAAAAAAAUGGGCUCCUUCAAGAAAGCCAGAUGAAAACCCUCAACACUGGAAGACUCUCUUAUCUCAUCUGGAUGCCUGUGGCAGGCAGUACUUCCUCACCAUGGCACAUUACAAUAACAAAUUGACACUAAUUCACCAUUAAUUUAUGAAUUUAACAAUAAAAAAGCCUACAUUUCCA